CCUACGGGGGGCAGCAGUGGGGAAUCUUGCGCAAUGGGCGAAAGCCUGACGCAGCAACGCCGCGUGGGGGAUGAAGGCCUUCGGGUUGUAAACCCCUUUCAGCAGGGACGCGGUACCUGCAGAAGAAGCCCCGGCCAACUACGUGCCAGCAGCCGCGGUAAUACGUAGGGGGCGAGCGUUGUCCGGAUUCAUUGGGCGUAAAGAGCUCGUAGGCGGCUUGGCAAGCCGGGUGUGAAACCUCCAGGCUCAACCUGGAGACGCCACCCGGGACUGCUAGGCUAGAGUCCGGUAGGGGAUCACGGAAUUCCUGGUGUAGCGGUGAAAUGCGCAGAUAUCAGGAGGAACACCGGUGGCGAAGGCGGUGAUCUGGGCCGGACUGACGCUGAGGAGCGAAAGCGUGGGUAGCAAACAGGAUUAGAUACCCUUGUAGUC
rnacentral:rRNA from 1 species